rnacentral:rRNA from 1 species
UACGGAAGGGGCUAGCGUUGUUCGGAAUCACUGGGCGUAAAGGCGCGUAGGCGGCCGAUCAAGUCGGGGUGAAAGCCUGUGGCUCAACCACAGAAUUGCCUUCGAUACUGUUUGGCUUGAGACCGGAAGAGGUUAGUGGAACUGCGAAGUGUAGAGGUGAAAUUCGUAGAUAUUCGCAAGAACGACCCGUGGCGAAGGCGGUUCUCUGGGACGGUACUGGACGCUGAGACGCGAAAGCGUGGGGAGCGAACAGG